rnacentral:misc_RNA from 1 species
GUGAAUCAUCGAAUCUUUGAACGCAUAUUGCACCCUCUGGUAUUCCGGGGGGUUCACCUGUCCGAGCGCCAUUUCAACCCUCAAGCACAGCUUGGUGUUGGGUGAGGUCCACGAUGGACCUGCCCGUAACUCUUUAGGCGGCACGACGCCCGCUCCCCCAGCGUAGCAGGCUUACGCAUCCGCUCGGGGACGGGCUCUUGACCAGCCUGGCAACCAAUUCUUUCAAAAGGUUGGCCUCGGAUCAGGUGGGGAUACCCGCUGAACUUAAGCAUAUCAAUAAGCGGAGGA